rnacentral:misc_RNA from 1 species
UUGAAGGAGCGGACAAAAAUUUGUGUGUUAAAUGCUUAAUAAAAUAAUUUUAACAAAAAUCAUUACUUUUCUUUUUAAAGUUAAAUUAAAAGUAUUUAAAGAAAAUACUUCAGUGAUUUAGAAAAGGGUUUUUAAAAUGACAAAUGGAAAAGUGUUGUUUUAAGACUCUAUUACUAAAGCCGAAUUACAAACAUAAAAGUUUAGUAGCCGGUAGAUAGACACAUUUAUGAACGUGGUUGCUUGCGAGCUGGCGAAGAAUAUUUGGAGACUCACAUUGUUUCUGUAUGGAUCUAUAUAAUGCUAACAAUAUUUUGGCAGAGUUUUGAAAUUUCGAAAAUAAUUUACGAAAAAGGCUGUGUUCAAGCGGGUGAAGAAUGGAUGGAAAGAAAUCUUAUUAUAAUAUCCACAAGUGCUAUUAUAACAAUUUUCUUUCAGAUAUUAUUUAUAAUUUUUACUCAAAAUCUACGUGCUGAAAUAAAUGCUCAAAAAUCAAAAUGGCACUGACAAUUGCCCACAGCCCCUUAAGAAAGGCUGGUUGCUGUUUAAGCGGCUGGAAAUGGACAUGAAAACAACAACAAGAAGAAAAACUAAAUAAAACAACCGAAAUUAAAUCUUAUGAUUAGUCAACUAAAAUAUCAUGUUACCUUUAAAUCAUGGUAUUUAUGAAUGUCACAUAUUUGGACAGCUGGAAUGAUGAAUAUCGCCUGUUAAAUAUCGGGCGUAUCAGCCGAUAUCCGAGGUGUUGAAGAGUAUGUUGCUAAGCACUUAUGCUUUCGGCCAAAGUUUCAUCGUCGCUACUGUCGUUAUCAUCACUUAAAAUUACGUAUUGUUGCGUAUAAAUACCUCAACGUUAACUGGCACAUACCACGGCAAGUUAUCAAUUAUUAUGUUCUCAUCACCACCACCUAAUUUUUCAUCUGAGAUAUCUACAACUUGUUGGCCUGAUUUUCCCAAAAACGCUAUGGACAUAUAUUUUCCUUUUUUACCUUGUGACAUGAUAGUAUAAGAGAAAUGUUAGAAGAUCUUCCAGCAAGCUAUAGGUGAGGUAAAAUUUAGUUCAUAACUCAUAUAUUCUAUUACACGUGAACAUAUAACACAUUAUCCAUGCCAACGAGAUACUAAUCAAUAAAUUGAGGUAUGAGCUUUGAGCUGGCCAUUAAUCGUUUUUUUUGCACUGAAAACAAAAUCUUUUUUGCCGCCUACUUCGGAUCUCCAUCCUGUUGGAAUAUAACUCUGAAUAUGCACACUCUUCUACCUGUUGGAAUAUAACUCUGAAUAUGCACACUCUUCUACAAAGUCUGGAAUAUUGGAUUGUAAAAUGUUCAAAUAAUCCUAGGCGAAAAAUCUUCGGUUCAUCGGACCAUAUACCGUUUUCCAGUCAUUAACAAUUUCUAAUUUUUUCUGCCUUAUGGCUGAUAUAAGGACAAUUCUACGAAGAACUCUCUGGGCUUUCUAUAAACUUACUAGAUUGUUUAUGACGGCAGCAACUUGUUUGAUUGUUUUUAUAUGUUUGAACGUUAUUAGUUCUGACAUCUAAGUCCUCAGGUUGCUUGGGUCUUCCUUUGAUUUCGAGAGAGACUUUGAGCUGCUGACAAUGCCAGCAAUCUAUAAUUCAUACAUUAUUCCGGAAUGUUAAUUAAUCCAUUUGAUUAGUUUUUAUUAUGUAAUUACCAACGCAAUCAUUGCGAUAUUCUAAUCAAGAGUUGCAUACUGCUCGAGUCUAGUAAAUGGUAGAAAACUCGUGAGUGUUCACUUGUCCAAAUAGAAAUUCGGUACAAAAAUAGCAAAAAGUCCAUCUUAUCGACUUGUCCCAAUACAUUUAUUAUAAACAGCUAUAACGUUAGGUAGUGAUGAUAUGAUACAUAUCUUAAGGUUAAAUGGAACCACGUGUGCUUAAAACACAGGAGGUUUCAGAAAGCCUCUUUGACACACGGACUGAUAUUUUGAAAGUUCCACGUGGAAUGAUAUGACUAGAAGUUUUAAGGUUUGAUAAACUCUCCUUGCAACCUAAUUUUGUGUGACGAAAAGUCCAGGUGUCUAAAAUACUAAGAUUUCAAAACUCUGUGGAGCUAGUGAUGCUUGCCUCAGAAUUUUUUAAUUUCCCUUAAGGAAAAUCAUUGAUAUUUAUCUGCCGCAAAGAACACGAUGAAUUUAAUCAUGUUCUUCAAUAUAAGUCAAACUUACUUCAACCAAAAAACGGUUUAUGGUUCCUGUCAAAGUUGUUAACGUUAGAUUGUGGUUUUAGAUGACAUCCUUUGGAUGAUAUGUAACUCACCAGAUCCUUGCACCAGCUAAAUGGGCAAGUAUAUCAAUUAAACUUGUUAUCGAGUCAUCUCUGAAGUCUAAAAACUUGGUUUUAGGAUGAAAAUUUUAUAAAUAAAAAUCGAAUUCCGGAUAUGAAACAUGACCUUUUUAUACCAUCUAAUAGUUUUUCUUGGACUAGAAUAAUAUGAUAAUAGUUGCUCAGAUCGAUCAAUUCCUCCAUUUUUUUUCUAUAUAAGCAAGACAUGGGUGAUGUGCCGUAGUUAUGGAUAAAACAUUGCGUUUAUCCUUCCAUUUUGUAACGUAAACAUUUCAAGUUCUUCUCCAAAUCAUGUCUCCCUUUUUAGUGGUUAUACCAUUAAUAAAUGAUGGCCACGGCUAAGAAAUGAAUCCAUAAGUUUCAGGACUACAGUUUUUGUUUUCGAUUCUGUCGUAUCUUCUGUAACUUUUUCUGCAUAAAUUUCAGCAUUUAAAAUGUAGCCAUCAUUUGAGGUGAGUUCAUAAAACUUUAUGCCGUACUUAGCACGUUUCCCUUUAAUGUAUUGCUUAAAUGAUAAUCUUCCUUUAAUAAGCAUUAGAGACUCAUCUAAGGACAAGUCUUUCUUUUUAUUUUAUUAAUAUUUGUAGUGUUUUUGUUAUUUCAGGGAUUUUGUAACUUGAAGCUCAGGCAGUAAUUUAAUAUUAAACGACCAGUAAACUGUAUCAAAGUUACUCACACUACAGCAACAUGGCGUGAUCUAUAAUUUAAACGUAUUAUUCCUUUUUGAAUUUUUCCUUGUGGAUAUAUGAUAUAUAUAUUAUUGUGUUUAAAAUCUAAAAUUUCCUUUUUAGUUAAAGAUGAUAUUUGACAUUAGUUACUAAAUUUUCUACAAAUGUUGUCGAUGAAAUACCUCUUUACUGCCACUCCAUCUCCAAAUCAUUAUCAAUAUAUUAUUAUAUAAUGGCUAAACGCUCAAAUCUUUGCAGCAUCGGUACGAAAGGAUCUCUUCUACUAUUGAUUAGUUAAAGUUAAGAUCUCUUCAACUCUUGAUCAGUGAAAGGCAGGAUCACUUCUACUAUUGAUCAGUUAAAUAAAAUAUCUCUUCUACUACUGAUAAGUAAAAGACAGGAUCUUAUCUACUAGAUUAGUGAAAGGCUCUUCCAAAAUCGGUUAGGGAUGAAAGAUUUCAGUUCUAUUAUUGAUUAGUGGAAGGUAGCAUAUCUAGUGAAAGUCAAGUUAUCUGUUUUUUAUAAGUGAAAGGCAGGUUUUCUUCUACUAUUGACUAGUAAAUGUCAAGAUUGCUUCUAUUUUUGAUUAUUUUAUUUUUUAAUAUUUUUCUUAUUUACUUUUUAUUUAUGCCACUAUCUCUAUAUAAAAAGUAGUACUUGUGGAGAACCUCCCCCCCCCACAAACACCACUCCAUUUUCAGACAACUGUAGCUCGCCAAAUAUAAACUUUUCUCCAUCCUCAUGAAAGUCUACCUGCCCCCUAGAAUUAGUCCAUGUGAUCUCUACACGGCUGAUGUUUCAUUCCUCCUCUCGAUGCUGUUUCGAUCAGAAGAGAAGCUAAUAGCUCCUCUAUGACAGGGAAAAACCUUUUUUUCUUCUCCCAUCUGCAUCCAAAAAUUGGAUGCAGGCGCUAGCUGCAUUUCUAAAACAUCGUCGUACCAGAGAUUAUUUUCGCACACAAAAACACAAGAUAAACGAUCCGUAUUAUUAUUUAAACAUAAUUCAACAGUUUAAUAUUUAUAUUAAAUAUUCUAUACCUACAACCGCUUUUUAUUAAAAAAAAAAUUCAUCUCUAUUUUUAUCACGAAAAUGCCAAAGGUAAACUUUUUUCCAUCCUCAUGAAAGUCUACCUGCUCCUUAUCAGAAGAGGAGCUAAAAGCUCUUCUAUGACAGAAAAGAACUUUUUUUCAUCCAAAAAUUGGAUGCAGACGCUAGCUGCAUUUCUAGUACCUCAUCGUACCAGAGGUUAUUUUCGCACACAAAAACAAAAGAUAAACGAUCCAUAUUAUUUUUAACUUUAUUACACAGUUGAAUAUUUAACCCAUUAAACGCCAAGGCAAUUAAAAAUAAAAAAAUUGAAAUUCAUUUAUUUAUUUGUAGUUAAAUAGAGUUAAAGAUUACAGAAAAAAACAAAAAAGUAAAAAAAAAAAUUUUUGGAAAUGUGUUUUUGGGGCUGUACUCGGACGGGUACAGUGGCGUCAUGAGUAUGCAAUUUUUUCAAGUAUGAAAAUUUUUGAAGCAUACUUUUUCAAC